CUCUUUUCCACCAUGGACGAGUUGGCUGGCACAAAAACCCAGGACGGCGGUGGAAUGGGAAAGAACUAUUCUUCUGUCUGUUAUUUCCACCUGCUGGCCAAGGCGGAGCAACACAAUGAAUUGGAGGAUGCACAAACUGUUUAGUUCUCGACAUUCUAUUAAUUUUUUUCAUGACUCAAUGUUUUUCUAAUGUAUGAUAUAAUGAAGUGCUAUUUUCCCUUAUUAAAUUUGAGAUACAAAUGGAGCGGCUGGAGCUGCGGUGCGGCCGACACCACCAUGGAGCUGAACACGCUCGAGACUGGAGAGAUGAUCGUGGACUUCAGGAGGAUUCCCCCCCACCCACCCUUGAGGACUUGCACGCGGCCAGAGCCGGUCACCGGCUCCUUCCCUCGGGCUUUUGACUGGCAGCGGUGCAGCAGCGCGGAAGGAAAGGUUUGUGCAUGGGUUUGCGUGGAGCACAGCACGUUCACACUUCGCUUUGGGCUUAGCACGUUUUAGUUCUUUUGUUUCUCUUUUCAUUUUUGUGUGCUGGCCAGCUCCUUUGUGUAUUUCUUUUUUUGAAUUGUUUUAAAUGACAUGUGAUGGUUUUGUCACUGACCAAAUGUUUGGUUGUUUUAAGUGUUCAUGUGCCGUGAUUCUUCGAUGGCAUUUUCUUUACGGUGGGAAAUUGUCUUUUUUUUUUUGUCUUUUCAUGAAUU